rnacentral:lncRNA from 1 species
CUGGCCUCACGGUUUUGUCCUACAAAAGGCGCCUCACAAGGCGGAGAUGGUGUGAACCCUUUUAUACCCCAGGGACCUUCCUAUUAUGUUCGAUGUGGGAUUCAGGACUCCUCCUUAGGUCCGUGACAUUCUCCCGCACCCAACCUCGUGACGCCCUCGUCACGGAGGCCGGCCACCCUGCCUACCUCCCUCGAGGUGCU